rnacentral:rRNA from 1 species
UGGGGAAUAUUGGACAAUGGGCGAAAGCCUGAUCCAGCCAUGCCGCGUGUGUGAAGAAGGCCUUUUGGUUGUAAAGCACUUUAAGCGAGGAGGAGGCUACUUGGAUUAAUACUCUAGGAUAGUGGACGUUACUCGCAGAAUAAGCACCGGCUAACUCUGUGCCAGCAGCCGCGGUAAUACAGAGGGUGCGAGCGUUAAUCGGAUUUACUGGGCGUAAAGCGUGCGUAGGCGGCUUCUUAAGUCGGAUGUGAAAUCCCUGAGCUUAACUUAGGAAUUGCAUUCGAUACUGGGAAGCUAGAGUAUGGGAGAGGUUGGUAGAAUUCCAGGUGUAGCGGUGAAAUGCGUAGAGAUCUGGAGGAAUACCGAUGGCGAAGGCAGCCAUCUGGCCUAAUACUGACGCUGAGGUACGAAAGCAUGGGGAGCAAACAGG